rnacentral:lncRNA from 1 species
GGGACCGGGCCGCUUCUUGUUCGGCGUGGGCGGCUCCUGGCAGACCCAUCCCGCGGUGCAGCCGCCGGCCCGGUAGGCGCCAGGACCCCGAGCCUCGGCGGCGGCGGCGGCGGCGGCAGCGCUGCCUUCACUCACCUCGUCCUCGCUCCCGUCCUACCCCGUUCCGCGCUGGGUGGAGUCCAAGUCUGAUUGCGAGAGUCCGGAACGCCGCCUCGGGGGCUUGACUCCAGCCCCGGGGAUCGAGAACGGCGCCCAGGGGUCCCUACGUCUGCCUUGGGGGCUCGAGUCCCGCCCUGGGCGUCCGUGACGUCGCCCAGGGGUCUCCACGUCUGCCCUGGAACCUGGAGAGCCGCCGUGGGGGCCCCGGAAGCUGCCCCGGAGUCCCCACGUCUGCCCUGGGGGCUCGAUCCAGCUCUGAGGGUCCUGAAGUCAGCUUUGGGGGUUCGAACCCAUCCAUCCCAGGGGUCCCUGAGUCUACAUUAGGGGCUGGAGUCCAGCCUUGAGGGUCUCCACUGCUGCCUUGGGGGCCUGGAUGGGAUCCAGCGGGUCUGAGUCCAGCCUCGGGAGCCCCUGCGGUGGAGCUCUGAGUGGGGCAGGGGCCUGGGAGAUGCCAGGAGGAUGAGAGCGGCGCCCCCCUGGUCCAGGGGACAGUAAGAGGCAGCCGGUCUCAGAGAAGCUACCCCAAAACUGUUACCCGUGGUGUGCAGAGCGUCCUGCAACCCCAGCCCUCACCAGGAUUUCUUGCGUUUUUCAGGAAAUCGGUUGUGAUUGGCAUGUUCCUUAAGCGUCUGCAGGAAGCCGAGGCCUUUUUGGUAUUUCAGGAGGGGUUGCUAACCCCCCUCCUUGUAGGAUCGGGGUAUCCCAGCUGCUAAUUCCCCUCCUAACAGCCCUGCAGCGCCUGGAUUGGAGGUGUGACAGGUGGCAUUUUUGGCCCGAAGUCCCUAGGCAGGACGGGUGGCUGUAGCCUGCGCGUUUGUGUAAAUUAACCUCCCUUUUUAGUUCUGUGAAGGGAGAACGUGAUUAGUUUAAAAUCACCUGCGUGAAAGAGGCUCUUGAUUAGUUUAAAAUCACCCACGUGAAAGGGGCUCUUGAUUAGCUUAAAAUCACCUGGGUGUUUCGUUUUAUCUCAGUUGGCCUCUGAAUGUUUAUCCUACAGCUUCCUGCAAGCUCCAGUCUACCUUCUAAGGGAAUAACGGGGCUCGUCUUUCUACGUUACUUUAUGUGGGAGUAGUUGUAAAACAGAAUGAGGGAGACCGCGGGGAUUGUGCGGAAAUGUAGCCACCGUUUACAUGUCGGGAGGCUGAGGUGGGAGGAUCGCUUGAGCCCAGGAGUUUGACACCAGCCUGGGCAACAUGGUAAGACCCCUUCUCUACCCUCCCCCCCAAAAAAAAAAUUUUAGUGUGGCAUGGUGGUGGGUGCCUGUGGUCCCAGCUACUCGGGACGCUGAGGUGGGAGGAUUGCUUGAGCCCAGGAGUUUGACACCAGCAUGGGCAAUAUGGUAAGACCCCAUUAUCUACAAAAAAAAAAAAAAA